CCGACAUUGAAAAGUGCAAAUGCUGGAUUAAAGCCUGUGGACGGCCACACGAGAAACUGAAUGUUAACAGGAUAAACCAGCACGAAGAUGUCUGCUCGAAGCACUUUCAUGGAGGAAAUGGACCAUCUAAAGAGUAUCCUGACCCAUUAUCAGCUGAUUGCUGGAGAAUAACAUCUUCAAGAAAACUCCACACAAAGCGGUCACUUGGAAAGGAAACUUAUGGCAGCAUUUAUACACAAAAUGCAAGUGUAUGCAUUUUAUACAAGAUAUCACAUGCCUAGAAAAGCUGGUCCAGGAUCCUGCAGACACUGUACAAGGAGUAGAAACACAGACCGAAUGUCCAUGGACAUCACCUUUGGAUAUGUUUGCAUUUACCGCUCAGAAUGCUUCCCUAAAAGAACAGCUGUCACAAAAAGAAGUCCAAGUUGAAGAAUUACAGUUUGCACUUUCAUCAAAGUGUUAUGAAAUUCAGAUUUUAAAGCAACUGGUGGGAAUAUAAACAAACUUUAAAUGUCGAUAUAUUUCUGCUCAAAGAAGCAAGAGUUAAAAUUUGUUUAAAUAUU